GGCAUAAGGUAUUACAGGCAUGUUUUUGCACACCUCUCAUGUGCGAGUGGGCAUGGCCUCCUUCACAGUUAAGUUUUGGCUGAUUGUGCUCAAAUUUUGUAAGUACCUACAUGUAAAGGGAUGUAGAUACAGUUAGUCGGGCACUCUUCUUAAUUCAGUUUUGUGCACCACUUCCUGCUUUCACCAUGCUGUGCCCACUCUGCUUUACAGUGGACAGCUGCUUCUGUGACACACAUCAAUCUUGCGUUCAUUGAAACACUUAGUUUUGAGUGUUUUGACUCAGUUUUGUUGUAACGUUACCUGUGUUUAUAUUUUCAAUAACUUGUUUUGGGCUGCUAGUUUGAUUUGUUUUUGACAUCAAGUAAGAUUUGAUUUUUGUUUCUGAGAUUCCAAUGUUAUUUGUGGCAAAUAUUUUCCAAAAAUCCUCCAUCUAAAGCUUCAACUGAAUUCUAAAAUGCCUGCAUUUUCUACCAGAAACAUUAUCAUUGAUACCUCCUACAAUAUUUCAUUUUGUCACCAGGUACCUGGACUGGUGAAAAGUGAAAACUGAAAUUCAUUCAUGUCACCAUUAUCCUACGACCUACCCCUAAAUGGAAUUGAUCUUGUUUCACAAAUGAGUUGUACAUUGUACAAUGUCUAUCAGCUGAUGUCUAUUGUCUAUCUCUCUUUCAGCACAGAAGAUCCUCAGUCAUAGUUAACAAAAUGGAAAAAAAUUAGCUGUGUUUUUAAGAUUCCAGUGGUGGCCAUCAACUGCUCAGGAAAGCAGCCCAGAAUCACUUCACAACAGGUUUCCAAAGGAUCAUCAUUCAUCAGCACAGAAGGGUGGGAAAGAGAAGGCUGUUCAAAUUCUGAAAAGCCAGAGCUGCAAAGGAGGUCAAAGAUGCAGUGCAGUUGGCCCACUCAGUAGAGUUUCACUAGUGGUUCUGAUGUGGACUGAAGAUUACACGCUGGAUUGAAGUGGCCGGUCUGGAGCAGCUGUAGUUCAUCAUUCUUGCUGAUUGUGGACGAGUAAGAGCCCGUGUUGGCCCCGAUCGGCGAUCGCUGGCCAAAGCCCACCACCAGUUUGGUGAUAGGCGUUGGCUGUGAUAUCUAGUGUCGCCUAUGUGUGAAAAGGACAAGUUGAUAACAAAACCUGUUGCGCCAUGUUAUUAACCCGCGCCCGGGUGGCCCUCAGCCAACUUGGGGGGGGGGGAGGUGUAUUCGGCCACACCAGGUUAUCUUGGAAUGUAGCAAAGCUGGAAAGACGCAGUAAAAUCAAUCUAUAGACCGCUAUUUUUCUUCAGAAUCAUACAGGUCAUUUUUGAUCAGGUCAUCGCUGAGGUCACUGGAGGUCACCAAAAGUAAAAUGAUGACGAAUUUUGGCCCCCGAUUUUGACAACUUCACAAAUUGGUUCAUAAUUCGGGAACCAAAGAAGCUACAGCGCCGCGGAAAAGCGAAUUCGAUAGCUCUUU